rfam:Ruminococcus sp. CAG:624 genomic scaffold, scf301
AAUAUUCUGCCUUGUUCGAGUAAUUAUAGUUUUUAUAAUCCAACACUUUUAAUAAGGGAAUUCAUCUCUGACUGUGGAUUGCAGACCUCCCGUUUCGGCGGAAGAAGGGAGCGUGAAUCAGUUAGGAGUUUACCCACCUGCUUUGUGCGGGUUUUAUUCGCUAUAUGACGGCAAGGCGGUUUAUUU